rnacentral:rRNA from 1 species
CUGCAAGUCGUACGAGAAAGUUGGCUUCGGCCAAUGAGUAAAGUGGCGCACGGGUGAGUAACGCGUGGAUAAUCUGCCCUCCGGUCAGGGAUAACCAACCGAAAGGUUGGCUAAUACCCGAUCCUACUCUUGCACUGCGGUGCAAUAGUUAAAGAUGGCCUCUGUAUACAAGCUAUCGCCGGAGGAUGAGUCCGCGUACCAUUAGCUAGUUGGCAGGGUAAUGGCCUACCAAGGCAAUGAUGGUUAGCUGGUCUGAGAGGAUGGCCAGCCACACUGGAACUCUAGACACGGUCCAGACUCCUACGGGAGGCAGCAGUGAGGAAUUUUGCGCAAUGGGCGAAAGCCUGACGCAGCGACGCCGCGUGGAGGAUGAAGGCCUUCGGGUUGUAAACUCCUGUCAGAGGAGAAGAAAUCCCGAGUAAUCGGGUU